CCACUAUGGUGACGACUGUCUGCCCUGUGACAAAUCUGAGUAUUGUGAAGUUUGUGAUAUUAACUAUGGAGCUUGCUAUGUCUGCAGAGAAGAGUACACCGGAUCCAACUGUAGCAUAAGCAAUGAAAAUGGCGCUUUACAAAUAUAUACUUGGUUGUAUUAUUUGGACCCAGUUCGAUACUAUUUACCUUCCCAUCGUUUGUUUGAUGGAUCUACUGAACAACCCAGCUGCAUUGAUUUUACUUCUUCUUGGACUGGAAAGACGUAUUACUUGGACGUACACUCGAGUGAUUCCAUUCAGAACAUCAAAGAUAUACGGUUUUAUUUCAAUAAUAAGGGAACUUGAAGUAUAAUAUUCCAAUUUACCAUUUGUCGAGAUUGUUCAUCAGAAGAUAAACUCAGUGGGGAAGAAGAGAUACCUGUCUCAUCAUCAACUGUGAUAAAAAUACCGUACCCGAAACAACUCUACUACACAAAUCUGGAUUUUUUAAUCAGUUUUUCUAUUGACGACCUCGCAAAAGUUAACAGCUCUUCACUCUCUUUCUGUGAAGUAGAAAUUUUUGGAUGUCCUUGGAAUCAUUACGGUAGCCCUUGCAGACCAUGUUCUCUAAAUUGUGAUCGAUGUAACGCUAUUGACGGUUCUUGUAUUUGCAAAGCUGGUUAUUGGGGUGAAAACUGUA